UGUGGGAGCGGGCUUGCUCGCGAAAUCGGUGUGACAUUCAGUAUUAAUGCUGACUGACACUCCGCUUUCGCGAGCAAGCCCGCUCCCACA
rnacentral:antisense_RNA from 1 species